GAUCCAGACUUUGAUUCUGGCUCAGGAUGAACGCUAGCUACAGGCUUAACACAUGCAAGUCGAGGGGCAGCGGGAUUGAAGCUUGCUCCAAUUGCCGGCGACCGGCGCACGGGUGAGUAACGCGUAUCCAACCUUCCGUACACUCAGGGAUAGCCUUUCGAAAGAAAGAUUAAUACCUGAUGGUAUGAUGAGAUUGCAUGAUAGCAUCAUUAAAGAUUUAUCGGUGUACGAUGGGGAUGCGUUCCAUUAGGUAGUAGGCGGGGUAACGGCCCACCUAGCCAACGAUGGAUAGGGGUUCUGAGAGGAAGGUCCCCCACAUUGGAACUGAGACACGGUCCAAACUCCUACGGGAGGCAGCAGUGAGGAAUAUUGGUCAAUGGACGAGAGUCUGAACCAGCCAAGUAGCGUGAAGGAUGAAGGUCCUACGGAUUGUAAACUUCUUUUAUAAGGGAAUAAACCCUCCCACGUGUGGGAGCUUGUAUGUACCUUAUGAAUAAGCAUCGGCUAACUCCGUGCCAGCAGCCGCGGUAAUACGGAGGAUGCGAGCGUUAUCCGGAUUUAUUGGGUUUAAAGGGAGCGCAGACGGGUCGUUAAGUCAGCUGUGAAAGUUUG
rnacentral:rRNA from 1 species